AACAAAGUUGUCAUCGGUGUUCUGGUGUUCUUCAUCAUCCUCAUCAUCACAGCUGUGGUGGUUUGCAGGAUCUAUGUUCUGAAGUGCAGAAAGUCCAGAAACGAUGUUAAUGAGGAUAUGAUGCUUGAAUCAACAGCAAUUUAUGUGAACGUACCACCUCCUGGAUGGCGUCGCCAAGAAGCUCGCUGAUGAAGAAGGACCUGCUGGAUCUGCUCAACUAAUCACCAUUAACUUGUUGUGCUUUUAAGUUGUUCAGUAUGUAGUGUGUGUGUGUGUGUGUGUGUGUGUGUGUGUGUGUGUGUGUGUGUGUGUGUGUGUGUGUGUGUGUGUGUGUGUGAUUUUAGAAACUUUACUUUUAAUCACCUUGUUUGUUUUGUGGCCAAGCCCUUAAAUAUUAAAGUUGGUUAAUUAAACGGCCUCCAUACAUGUAAACUGUCCUUGGGUACCUUGAAAGGGGCUAUGAAAAUGAAAGUUAUUAUUGUUAUUUUCCCCACUUUUAGAUUUCUUUAAUUGUUACUUUUUGGUGCAAACAUGUAGUUACAUCAGAGAUAUAACAAUAGAAACAGGCAUAAAAUGCAAAAGGGCAGACAGGGAAAACAAUGACACAGACAGACAGACUUGGACGCUGUGUAAACCACAGUUGAUGUCCAUGUACAUGGAAGUGGAGGCACUGAGGUCACCAGGUACGGGGGGGUUGUUACCUGGCUGAGGAAGUGUCAUAGGCUUCAGUAGAACCUAGAUAGGUUUCACCUGGUGGCCACUUGUGGUAUUGCAGUGAAAAAGAAAAACCUUUUUGUGCUUGCCGACUAGUGUUGGGUUACGUUACAUUUAAAUGUAACUCAUUAUGUAACAAUCAAAGCCCAAAUGUGAUGAAACUGCUGGGGUUUCAAAAAAAAUAAUU